AUAAGCCUGAAAGCAAGUUAAAAGACAAAAUGUAUGUUGUGUCCUUAAGCAGUGCUUUGACUCAGAUAGUGAUGGAAGAUAAAAAUAACUGAUCCUGCAGACUUAUUUCUGGCAUCUCCUGAAGUGGGAAGACAUUUACUCUCAACCUCAGCAUGGUGCAGGUGAAGAAACAGGGACUUAUCAAGUUCAGUCAGGAACUUGCCCAACGUCACGUGGGGUAGUAGGCAGCGGACUCAGGGUUCAAACCAAGGUAUGUCAGUGGUUACCAGUAGUUGAUUCCACAUUGUAAAAGAAAAAAAUACCAACUAAAAGAUGAUUUGGGAAAUAAUCCAGAAGCUGUCUACAGACAUGUGUUUUUCUCCCUGUUCUCUACCUUUCAAUACUACCAGAAAGAACAAAAAAAUGCAAGACAAAAAGCUGAAAUGUAGCAAAUGAAGGACUCUCAGAGGGCAGAAGGCUCAUACCUCUUUUCUGAUCAUGACAUCAUUCUUGUAGUUGCUGUUGUUGGCAUAUCUUAAUUUCCCUAUGGGGGCAAAAAGCAAAUUUCAUGUAUAAUGAAACAUAUGAAUAAAGCAUCAAUACAUACCAAGACUA